UACGAAGGCAGCAGUGGGGAAUAUUGCACAAUGGGCGCAAGCCUGAUGCAGCCAUGCCGCGUGUAUGAAGAAGGCCUUCGGGUUGUAAAGUACUUUCAGUCGUGAGGAAGGUGUUAAGGUUAAUAACCUUAGCAAUUGACGUUAGCGACAGAAGAAGCACCGGCUAACUCCGUGCCGGCAGCCGCGGUAAUACGGAGGGUGCGAGCGUUAAUCGGAAUUACUGGGCGUAAAGGGCACGCAGGCGGUUAAUUAAGUUGGAUGUGAAAUCCCCGGGCUUAACCUGGGAAUGGCAUUCAAGACUGGUUAGCUAGAGUCUUGUAGAGGGGGUAGAAUUCCAUGUGUAGCGGUGAAAUGCGUAGAGAUGUGGAGGAAUCCGGUGGCGAAGGCGGCCCCUGGACAAAGGCUGACGCUCAUGUGCGAAAGCGUGGGGAGCAAACAGGGAUUAGAUACC
rnacentral:rRNA from 1 species